AACGAACGCUGGCGGCAGGCCUAACACAUGCAAGUCGAGCGAGAUCUUCGGGUCUAGCGGCGGACGGGUGAGUAACGCGUGGGAAUAUGCCUCUUGGUACGGAAUAGCCUCGGGAAACUGGGAGUAAUACCGUAUGUGCCCUUUGGGGGAAAGAUUUAUCGCCAAGAGAUUAGCCCGCGUUGGAUUAGGUCGUUGGUGGGGUAAUGGCCUACCAAGCCGACGAUCCAUAGCUGGUUUGAGAGGAUGAUCAGCCACACUGGGACUGAGACACGGCCCAGACUCCUACGGGAGGCAGCAGUGGGGAAUCUUAGACAAUGGGGGCAACCCUGAGCUAGCCAUGCCGCGUGAGUGAUGAAGGCCUUAGGGUUGUAAAGCUCUUUCAGCUGGGAAGAUAAUGACGGUACCAGCAGAAGAAGCCCCGGCUAACUCCGUG
rnacentral:rRNA from 1 species